CUAAUCCUACCCACCUAAAAACCCUUACACAUACUGAGUAAUUCUAUGUCCUCAUAGAAGAUUUCAUGUUAAAACUAGUAACAAGAAGAAAAACUUCUCCUAAAUGCAAGUGUAAAUCAGACAGGACACACCACUGACAAUUAACACUCGUGAGCAAAAAGUAGUAACUUAACAAGAAAACCCUACUGCACCAGAUGUUGACCUAACACCAGAGCAUUACAAGAAAGAUUUAAAGAAAAAGAAGGAACUCGGCAAACAUUAACCUCGCCUGUUUACCAAAAACAUCGCCUCUUGAAAAACAUAAGAGGUCCAGCCUGCCCAGUGACCCUGUUCAACGGCCGCGGUAUCCUAACCGUGCGAAGGUAGCGUAAUCACUUGUUCUUUAAAUAAGGACUAGUAUGAACGGCACCACGAAGGUUAUACUGUCUCCUCUUUCUAAUCAGUGAAACUAAUCUCCCCGUGAAGAAGCGAGGAUAAGUAUAUAAGACGAGAAGACCCUAUGGAGCUUUAAACCACGCAACACCUGCUCUAACCUAACCACUUCCAGAAAACCCCCAUUUACCCAUGCAGGAUGAUUGCCAGUUUUAGGUUGGGGUGACCGCGGAGCACAAGAUAACCUCCACGUUGAAAGGAGCCCCACUCCUUAGCCAAGAGCCACACCUCCCCGCAUCAACAAAAUGACAUUAAUUGACCCAAUAUAUUGACCAACGAACCAAGUUACCCUAGGGAUAACAGCGCAACACUUUAWGAGCCCCAUCGACAAGUGGGUUUAACCUCGAUGUUGGAUCAGGGUAUCCCGGUGGUGCAGCCGCUACCAAAGGUUCGUUUGUU
rnacentral:rRNA from 1 species